GCCUGGGUGGCUCAGUUGGUUAAGCAUCUGACUUCAACUCAGGUCAUGAUCUCACCGCUUGGCUGGUGAGUCCCAGCCCCAUGUU
rnacentral:tRNA from 1 species